rnacentral:rRNA from 1 species
GACGAACGCUGGCGGCGUGCUUAACACAUGCAAGUCGAACGGAAAGGCCCUGCUUUUGUGGGGUGCUCGAGUGGCGAACGGGUGAGUAACACGUGAGUAACCUGCCCUUGACUUUGGGAUAACUUCAGGAAACUGGGGCUAAUACCGGAUAGGAGCUCCUGCUGCAUGGUGGGGGUUGGAAAGUUUCGGCGGUUGGGGAUGGACUCGCGGCUUAUCAGCUUGUUGGUGGGGUAGUGGCUUACCAAGGCUUUGACGGGUAGCCGGCCUGAGAGGGUGACCGGCCACGUUGGGACGGAGAUACGGGCCGGACACCUACGGGAGGGAGGAGUGGGGGGGAGUGCCCAACGGGCGGGAGCCUGAUGCAGGAACGCGGAGUGCGGGAUGACGGACUGCGGGUUGUAGGGCGCUGACGCCUGUGACGAAGCGGGAGUGGCGGUAAUGGGUAAAGAAAGACCGGCUAAGUAAGGG